rnacentral:lncRNA from 1 species
AGUGAAUGUUCUGCAUCUUUUAUUCCUUUCUGCUUUCAGUAGUGGGACAAUGGACUGCAAGGCAAACUGAUAUUUGUAGCCAAGCAUCCUGAAACCAUUUUCUCAGUGAGUUUCACUUUAAACAAUGGGGUUGAUGAAAUCUGUGGUCAACAGAGGACCCUACUCUUUGCCAGUGUGCAUUUCCUGAGCCUCAUUGGUUUAAAUUCUGUGAAGCUUGAGAGAUUUCUCUGUGAACUUCUCCACUCUAUUUGUGGUUCGGAUGGAUUUUUCUUCCCUCGAACGAACGAACGAAACAUUUAAAGGUCUUGGACUGCCUCUCAAUAACUCAUUCUGUCUGUGACAAGAGGAUCUUUGAUAAGACCUCAGAAGACCAUGUCUGCCUGGGCAGUUUGGCCAUGUUCCAUGGAGCCAGAUGCUUGAAGUCUGUUUUGAGAUGGACAAGCAAUUUGUGCAAGUUUGUGCUUCUGCCAUCCAUGUUGCAGCCCUCUGCCCAGACUGCUUAUAAGCACACAGUGCUGGUUUCCAGGGCUGUCAAUCGAGUGGCUGUCACC